UCGUGGAGUGAUUCGUCUGCUUAAUUGCGAUAACGAACGAGACCUCGUCUUACUAAAUAGAAAAGUUUAGGCCUAUAUGUCAGGGCUUAGGAGAAGUGGUGAGGGUAAAACCUCGCUAACCUUCUGGGUUUGGCUGGUUUCUAGACAAUAUUUCUUCUUAGAAGUACAACCACUAUAAGGUGGUGGAAGUGCGAGGCAAUAACA
rnacentral:rRNA from 1 species